GUAGCGGAGCAUGUGGUUUAAUUCGAAGCAACGCGAAGAACCUUACCUAAGCUUGACAUCCCAAUGACAUCUCCUUAAUCGGAGAGUUCCCUUCGGGGACGUUGGUGACAGGUGGUGCAUGGUUGUCGUCAGCUCGUGUCGUGAGAUGUUGGGUUAAGUCCCGCAACGAGCGCAACCCUUGUCUUUAGUUGCCAUCAUUAAGUUGG
rnacentral:rRNA from 1 species